AAAAAUUGGCGGAAGGGAAGGAAGAUAAAAACGUUUGAAUCUCUCCCCUGUAAAAUCAAAACUGAGUAAAAAUUCUGUUUCCGAUGAAGCAAGCCAGUACAUAUUUCCCUUCAAAGAUACACCCGUUUUUGCGUCUACGCUGCCGUCGAAAACCAUGUUAUCGAGAACCCUCCAUGUUGAUGUACGAAUCAAACAUGUACGAACAUC
rnacentral:sRNA from 1 species